rnacentral:lncRNA from 1 species
GAGAUAUAAACAAGGGAGAUAUAAACAAGAAGAAACAGGACUGAGUAAACGUGUGCAGAAGGAUCCUGUUGCAGCGUCGUUCUUCCUGGCCAGUUGGGCGCGUGCAAGAAGAGGAGAAUGAAAGCAAUAUCUUCUUACCCACCACCAUUCUACAACCUGACCAACUUCAUGGAACUGGAAGCAUUGGUCAUCUUGGGAGCCUCUUUCAAAGGGAUAGCACUCUCCCUCCUUUGAGAAGUCCCCUGCUUGGCUGACCUUCACUGCACAGCUUCAGGAGGAAAUAGGGGCUGUGCUCUGCCCUGCCUGUCAUGUACCUACACCUGCUCACCAGUAUUCUGCAGAUCACGGAAACCCCUUUGGACUUUCCUGUCUACAUUUCAGGACAAUUUUUUUGAUUCCCAAGUGUUCCCUGGAGAGGUGUCCCGUAGAAAAACAAAAUAUCCGGAAUAAAACCCAAUAUGCUGAGACCAAGGCACAGGGGGCGGGGGGUGGGGGGGGGCGUUAUCCCUAGAGAUCCCACUGAUCUAAGUCAAGGUCUGCCACCUCUUAACUUAAAUGAUGUUGAAAAACAUUAAGAGUGAGAUAAAGAAUGGGUCAGGAAAUAAAGUAGGGCCUUUACUAUCAUUUGAAAAUAAUUAGCUGACUUAAUAGUAGACUCAACAGUUGAGGUGACACCUCUAGCAGUGUUGCUUUCUAAUGCUAGCAGUGACUGAGGACAGAAAAGACUCACAUCUGUCUGGAAUCGCACCAUAAAGCACAGGCAAGAGCUUCCCAGGCCUUCCCAGAACUCACUGCAGUAAGGCUAUUUGGGGCCCAGGUGUAGGAUUUGAACCGCAAUGCUAAAGGUUCCUUGCAAGUAUAAGAAGAAACUCUAAAGAACCAUUACUUAAACACGGGCUUGCAACGUCUUCCUGCUAAGUAAUGUCAGCAUCCUCAAUUGGCCGCUGUAAUCAGCCUGUGUCCCUGACCACAGGAAGGCCAGGACGUGGUCUUACAGAGUGUGUACUGCAGCACUGCAGGUCACCUCCCACAUAGCUUCUCUGCCUUCCUCUAUGCAUAACCAUCCAACACCUGCUCCAUAAAGGUCUUCUCCAUGAGAGCAGCUGGGGCUUCUGUCAUUUUCCCUGGCUGGCCCUCUGCAUAUUUGUUUUUCCUGGAGCUGAAGUAGAAUUGAAAGGAGAGACGGGAGAAAAUAGAGUUGACUUGAUUAAGUCUGUACUCUGAGGCAGGCAGGCUUGUGCUAAGGGCUUUGCAAUGAUUAUCUGAUUACCACCUUAGAGCAAAGCUAUUAUAUCAAAUUUACAGAUUAAAAAAUAUCUAAGGAUUAGAUUAUUUUGGCUGAGUGUUGUCUGCUCCUACGUCUAAAGUCAGGGUUUAGUCCAGAUCUGUUGAACUAUGAGGAUAGCCUCUGUCAUUUUCACUAUCUAAAUGAGAAACCUUCUGUAAUUCUAGUAAUCCACAUAUUUGUCCUUGUAAGUCUGGGAAAAUGGUUGGUUUUUUUUUUUUUUAUUUUUUUAUCAUGCCUUGGAGGCAAUACAAAAACCUGCUAUUCUUUUACAACUAUCAGAUAAAUAUUAAAUUAUGUUUGAUUAAAAUUCGGUUUGUAAAACCUUUGCCACAUUCUGAUGCUGAAAACUAGAAUUCCAUGCAUGUGAUGUCUGGUGUCUUCCUGUUAAAUAAAGCAUUUAAUUAACC